rnacentral:rRNA from 1 species
AGUGAACGCUGGCGGUAGGCCUAACACAUGCAAGUCGAACGGCAGCACAGUAAGAGCUUGCUCUUACGGGUGGCGAGUGGCGGACGGGUGAGGAAUACAUCGGAAUCUACUUUUUCGUGGGGGAUAACGUAGGGAAACUUACGCUAAUACCGCAUACGACCUACGGGUGAAAGCAGGGGAUCUUCGGACCUUGCGCGAUUGAAUGAGCCGAUGUCGGAUUAGCUAGUUGGCGGGGUAAAGGCCCACCAAGGCGACGAUCCGUAGCUGGUCUGAGAGGAUGAUCAGCCACACUGGAACUGAGACGCGGUCCAGACUCCUACGUGAGGCAGCAGUGGGGAAUAUUGGACAAUGGGCGCAAUCCUGAUCCAGCCAUACCACGUGGGUGAAGAAGGCCUUCGGGUUGUAAAGCCCUUUUGUUGAGAAAGAAAAGCAGCAGGUUAAUACCCCGCUGUUCUGACGGUACCCAAAGAAUAAGCACCGGCUAACUUCGUG